CCUACGGGAGGCAGCAGUGAGGAAUAUUGGUCAAUGGACGAGAGUCUGAACCAGCCAAGUAGCGUGAAGGAUGACUGCCCUAUGGGUUGUAAACUUCUUUUAUAUGGGAAUAAAAUGUUCCACGUGUGGGAUUUUGUAUGUACCAUAUUAAUAAGGAUCGGCAAACACCGUGCCAGCAGCCGCGGUAAUACGGAGGUUCGGAGCGUUAUCCGGAUUGAUUGGGUUAAAGGGGUGCGCAGGCGGAAUGUCAAGUCAGCGGUAAAAUUUCGGGGCUCAACCCCGUCGUGCCGUUGAAACUGGCGUUCUUGAGUGAGCGAGAGGUAUGCGGAAUGCGUGGUGUAGCGGUGAAAUGCAUAGAUAUCACGCAGAACUCCGAUUGCGAAGGCAGCAUACCGGCGCUCAACUGACGCUCAUGCACGAAAGCGUGGGUAUCGAACAGGAUUAGAUACCCCAGUAGUC
rnacentral:rRNA from 1 species